rnacentral:misc_RNA from 1 species
ACACACACACACACACACUAUACAUACAAAACAUUAUCAUUUUCACCCAAAUAACUCAGCCAUCUUUAUACCUUCAUCCUCUUGUGAGUCAGAUUCUGACCUCAAAGCUUCCACUAUUUACAAUCAGCUCUUAAAGCUCCCACAUUUCUACGGUCACCUUGAAGGACAACAUUUCAUUUUUCAUGUUCUCCUUCCAACAUCUUGCCACCUAAUAUCGCUGUUUCUCCUUGUUCUCACUACAUCGCUACUUCGGUUCCCGAUCGGUUGCCUACUCGAGCCUCUUUUGCUGGAAGAAACCUCACAAGGUGCUUGAAAUCCGAUGCUUUCCACUGCUCCAACCGUCUUGAAUAAUCGUCUUCUAUUCACCUCCUCCACCAACGAACGAUGCAGCAAUUGGCUAUGUACAUCUACUAGUGAUCUGUUCCUUGUUAAUUUACAACCAUCCCUUCCCCUCGAGGCAACUCCUUGAGACAACCCUGCUAUUGCACAUUGGCUCUGCUUGUAUAGAAGUCCACCCAAGAAAUCCUUGCUCUUCCGGUUCUCAACAGGACAAAAUCUUGAGGAAUUGUGAAUCUUAUUGAUGUUGGUAUGUUGAUCUAUCUGGACCGAACUCAUACUGGUCUCGUUCUCGUCGCUGCUGAUGUAAUUCAAGUUGGAAUAUUUUCCCGACGCCGAUGAGCACUGUGAACUGCUAUCAUCAAGCACAUCGUCUGGGAACCAACUAAAACCAUUUGAAAUGUUUUGGUUUGUUCU